GUAUCUUCGCCUCCUUUCUGUCCA
rnacentral:siRNA from 1 species